UUGUUUUCGCUGUCAAGCAAGUGAUAUCUUUUUCAGUUUUCGGUCAUUAUUGAGUGCGUGGAUAAAAUGGAUUUGAUCAGGAAUUUGAUUGAAUCAUCUGAUUCAGAAGGAGACGAGGAAAUGUUCCAUGCAUUUUUUCAAAUAAACGGUACCGCAAGAAAUGAAAAAUUGCGCGCUGAAAAUUUUAUGACUACGAUUGAUCGAUACAAUGAUGAAGAGGUAUGUUUUAUUGGUAUGCUUUUCAGCUUACAUCACAUAAGCUUUGUUUUUUUUAGUUUCGCAACAAUUUCCGAUUAACGAGGAGUACAGCAGAACUUCUUAUUUGUAAAUUUGAAAAUUCUGUAUUGUACAAAGAAGCAGAAGAACGGGGCAGAAGUAGUCUAUGUGCAAAAAAACAAAUGCUAUCUUUUUUAUGGUUCUGUGCAAAUAAAAACUCCUAUAGAGAGAUUUGUAAUUUGUUCGACACGUCGGAGUCAACCUUUUUUCGACACACGGAAUCUAUCCUGGAUUUCUUCCAUGAAAUAUCUAAGGAAUACAUAAAAAUGCCCAUGACUGAUGCAGAAAUUGCGAACGUCGCGAACGAAUUCGAAAAGCUCGCCGGAUUUAAAAACGUUAUCGGUUGCAUCGAUGGAAGCUAUAUUAAUGUUCGAAAACCAGCAAACAAAAUUCGCUCCAUAUAUAUCAAUAGGCAUGAAUUGGUAUCUCUAACACUGCAGGGUAUAUGUGAUGCCGAUAAAAGGUUCCUUGUCGUCUUUUUGGGCCCAGCUAGCAAAAUUCAUGAUUCGAGAAUUUUUAGCAUGUCCCCGAUAAGCCAAAACUUGCCAACGAUAUGCCAACAAAGUUAUCAUAUCCUAGGAGACGCAGCUUAUCCUAUUCGUUAGCAUCUAUUAACUCCUUUUAGGGAUUAUGGUAACCUGUCAAAUAAGCAAAAAAAUUAUAACAAACGUCAUUGUCAAACACGAGUUAAAAUAGAAAAUUGUUUUCAAUUAUUGAAACAACGUUUAAGACAACUUAUGCGUCUAGAUUUUUUUACUUUUAAAAAAUUGUGUAAAUUUAUAAUGGCAUGUUGUGUUCUACAUAACAUAUGCAUCGAUCAAAACGACUUAUUUUUAACAACCAACGAAGAAAACAA